rnacentral:rRNA from 1 species
UGCGAGUUGAGAGGGGUAAGCCCUCGGCAUAUUGCUCAGUAACACGCGGAUAACCUGCCCUUGGGUUCGGGAUAACCCCGGGAAACUGGGACUAAUACCGGAUAGAUCAAAGAAACUGGAAUGUUCUCUGGUCAAAAACUCUGGUGCCCAAGGAUGGGUCUGCGGCCUAUCAGGUAGUAGUGGGUGUAACGUACCUACUAGCCUACGACGGGUAAGGGUUGUGAGAGCAAGAGCCCUGAGAUGGAUUCUGAGACAUGAAUCCAGGCCCUACGGGGUGCAGCAGGCGCGAAAACUUUACACUGCGGGAAACCGCGAUAAGGGGACCCCGAGUGCCAGCACCUAGUGCUGGCUGUCCAGCUGUCCAAAUAACAGUUGUUAGCAAGGGCCGGGCAAGACCGGUGCCAGCCGCCGCGGUAACACCGGCGGCCCGAGUGGUAGCCGUUAUUAUUGGGUUUAAAGGGUCCGUAGCCGGCCUAUUAAGUCUCUUGGGAAAUCUGGCGACUCAAUCGUCAGGCGUCCAAGAGAUACUGGUAGGCUUGGGACCGGGAGAGGUGGGAGGUACUCCAGGGGUAGGGGUGAAAUCUCGUAAUCCUUGGGGGACCACCGAUGGCGAAGGCAUCCCACCAGAACGGGUCCGACGGUGAGGGACGAAAGCUGGGGGCACGAACCGGAUUAGAUACCCGGGUAGUCCCAGCCGUAAACGAUGCAGGCUAGGUGUUUGGACGGCCACGUGCCGUUCUAGUG